GAGUGGAGGUGGUUUAUGGUGAGACUGUGUCUUGGCCUCUCCUACCUGCCUCUGUGUGGCUCGAUUCUUCCUAGCUCACGUGAGGCAACUGCUCAGCUAGUUUUCAGGGGAAAUUGUUCCGUACGUAACUGCAGAUUCGGUGUACCCGUGGGAGGAGGUAGGUUCAGGAUUUUCCUACCUCACCGUCUCAGACCGCCUCCUCUAUCUCUGUAUUUGCUCUAACCUCAGGUUGGGUCUCUACCUCUAUCUGCAGGGAGUACAGGUAAUGGAACAGCUUGCCUCUUCUUCCAUUUCUAUUUGGGAAACCUAAUCUGGCCUAAGAAGAGAUUUUUCCAGCAAGAGCACCAAGGGUCACAGACUCUCUUUUCUCUGCAGAAAAAGAACAAGGAUUCAGGUAACACUGGAAGCCACCCUGGAUCUCACACUGGAAGGGAGAUCAGAAAGAGAAGGAGCUCCCGAGGCCACAUGAAAAGAUUGAUAGGGUCUGACUGUGACCAGAGAGUGGGGCUGCCUACAGCAGCGAUAGACUUACAUGGUGCAGAGAAGACCUGGCUGCAGAGGGCCACGGUGCACAGCAGGGUGGCAAGGACAGCCCUGGAGACCUUCAUGAUGCCGAGCAGACAAGCAGUGUGGGCUUGAGUGUCAGCAGAAAUGGGACAGGGCACUCACUGCUGACUGCGCCUUUCUGGAGUUACUGCUGUUCAAACACAUGGGCUCUGUGUUCAUCCCAUCCCUGUGAUUGCUAAUGCUGGUCCUGAGGGAGGUAAAGCAAAGGUAAGACAAUGGCCGUGGCAGGGUUCACUGGGGCUUUAGCAUCCAGGGAUCUUCCCUUGUUACUCUCCAUUCCAACAUGGAAGUUCCUAUCACUUGCUUCCUUGAGAACUCUAGAUCACAGACAGCCUCCUCUGCACCCCAGCCCCUCUGCCCCAGCCCUCAAUCGACACUCUGAAUUGCAUUCCCUUACUUACUUCUUGGGGAAGCCCCUUCAUCCUUGUGAUUCAGUUUCUGAGAGCUGGCUUCUAUGAGUUGGGGAGGGCAAGGAGAAGGAAAUGGAACCUGCUCAAUCAGUCACUUUUCUGAUAGUGGACUUUAUUAUCUACUUCUAAGAUUACAGCACUUCCUGCAGUGUGUUGUAAUUAUGUAAUUUUCUCAUAAAAAAUGUAGACUAUGUCCUGUUGAUUUCAAACCAAAUUCAUACCAUGUCUUGGUUGAUUAAACCAAAUCAAUGCACAUAAUGACUAUAAUGUGAUGAAUUGUCUUAACCUCUAUUUCUUAUAAUUUUUUUCUUUUUAAUAAAGGUGCUUUAUUGAAUAUAAAAUUCUAUCUUAGUGUUUGUAUAUUUGUAAGACUUUCCAUCUCAAUCCACUAAUCAGAAAAAAGCUCUUUGUUUUGUGUAUUUUACUGAAUUGGAAAACAACAUAUUUGCAAAGACAUAUGUGCAAAUAACAUGUAUGCAAAGACAAUAUGCACAUGUUGAAUGAACAAUGUGAGGGAGACUUAGGAUGGCUGAGUUGGUUGAGAAAGGGUUUUAGAGAUUUCCUAUGCAGUAAAUUGAUGACUUGUCCACAAUCACAUAGAUGGAAUUGGUCAGUUUUAUAUUCUACUGUCUGUGUUAUUUAGUGACAUAUCUCCAAUGAUAGCCACAACACCUGACACUAGUGGAGCUUAAUAAGUACUCAAUGAAUGAAUGAAUAAAUCACUGAUUUGGUAACAGUAUGUGUUAAGGCCCAAAGUCCCACUAUACAGUUAAAAUAGUAAUGGGAAGGAAAGGAUCAGAAAGGCUACGGUCUCAAAGUCUUGAUCUUUGGGGACCACCCAAGAUCUCUCAGGUGGUGGUGGCAGGGAGUACCCAGCAGUCAGCAUGGUGGAUCCUUCAGCAUGGAGGGCCUUGCUUUGUGCCCUAGCUUUCUGGCUCAUUCCAGCCUUAUUGAG